UACGUAGGGGGCAAGCGUUGUCCGGAAUCAUUGGGCGUAAAGAGCGUGUAGGCGGCUUGGUAAGUCCGCUGUGAAAGUCCAGGGCUCAACCCUGGAAUGCCGGUGGAAACUGUCAAGCUAGGAGUCCGGAAGAGGAGAGUGGAAUUCCUGGUGUAGCGGUGAAAUGCGCAGAUAUCAGGAAGAACACCCGUGGCGAAGGCGGCUCUCUGGGACGGUACUGACGCUGAGACGCGAAAGCGUGGGGAGCGAACAGG
rnacentral:rRNA from 1 species